rnacentral:rRNA from 1 species
GGGGAAUAUUGCACAAUGGGCGCAAGCCUGAUGCAGCCAUGCCGCGUGUAUGAAGAAGGCCUUCGGGUUGUAAAGUACUUUCAGCGAGGAGGAAGGUGUUGUGGUUAAUAACCGCAGCAAUUGACGUUACUCGCAGAAGAAGCACCGGCUAACUCCGUGCCAGCAGCCGCGGUAAUACGGAGGGUGCAAGCGUUAAUCGGAAUUACUGGGCGUAAAGCGCACGCAGGCGGUCUGUCAAGUCGGAUGUGAAAUCCCCGGGCUCAACCUGGGAACUGCAUCCGAAACUGGCAGGCUAGAGUCUUGUAGAGGGGGGUAGAAUUCCAGGUGUAGCGGUGAAAUGCGUAGAGAUCUGGAGGAAUACCGGUGGCGAAGGCGGCCCCCUGGACAAAGACUGACGCUCAGGUGCGAAAGCGUGGGGAGCAAAC